rnacentral:rRNA from 1 species
CCUACGGGUGGCAGCAGUGAGGAAUAUUGGUCAAUGGCCGGAAGGCUGAACCAGCCAUGCCGCGUGAAGGUCAGUGCCCUAUGGGCGUUAAACUUCUUUUGUGCGGGAGCAAUAAUGGUCACGUGUGGCCAGACGAGAGUACCGUACGAAUAAGCAUCGGCUAACUCCGUGCCAGCAGCCGCGGUAAUACGGGGGAUGCAAGCGUUAUCCGGAUUUAUUGGGUUUAAAGGGUGCGUAGGCUGUUAGGUAAGUCAGCGGUGAAAUGCCCCCGCUCAACGGGGUGAAGUGCCAUUGAUACUGCCUGGCUGGAAUGCGGAUGCCGUGGGAGGAAUGUGUGGUGUAGCGGUGAAAUGCAUAGAUAUCACACAGAACACUGAUUGCGAAGGCAUCUCACGAAUCCGCGAUUGAUGCUGAUGCACGAAAGCGUGGGUAUCAAACAGGAUUAGAUACCCUUGUAGUC